ACCGUUCAGGGUAAACCUGAGAAACCCAAAAGAUCGAAAGGGGAGAUUCAUCGUCAGCGUGUUUGGUAUAUGUGCAAAUUGCGAUAUAAUGUAUUUUCUUUAUGAAAAUGAUUUUUGUACGCUUUUGUAUCAUUUAAUUGCUAAAUAUCGUCGGCGUGCACUUCUCCCCUAGUAGAACGUUGCGACCCGUUGGGUGUUGAUCUACGACCUGGAUGGCAGCCUUUAAUGUCAUCUUUUAGAUGUUACAUUGAAGACCUCUGGUGUUUUCUGAUUAACUGCCCGGCGGUAUGAUAAAUGGUAUUGAGUCGCUUUUGAAUGCGUCAAAUCUAUCACAAGCCUAAUCAAUGUUUUAGUAGUUUACGGACCUAGUGCCGUCGCUUUACUUGAUGAGCUGUUAGUUGAUAGAGUACUUUGACAGACUCUUUGAAUAUAUAAAAUACCAGUUAGCGAUGCUACUGCUUUGGGUACUUCAGGA
rnacentral:rRNA from 1 species